CCACUGGCGCGUGCUCGCGGGAGGAGCCGCAUCCGAAGUUUUGGCCGGCGAUGACGAUGGUGUACUUGGUUUUCAACUCGCCGGCUUCAAUGAAGCGGGUUUCAUAGGACGAGGGAAGGCCGAUGAAGGCGUAAGAGCCGAGCUUUUGGUACUCGUCGGGGUUAGAUGGGACGAGGGUGAGGUACUCAGCGGGGAUGAUUUGGUCCGUAUCAAUGUUGUCGUGGACGACGUAGCAGAGGCCGUGAAAUGAGGUGGAGCUGGCAGUAACAGUGGUGGACCGACGAGUGGAGGCGGCGGUAGUGGCGGUAGUGAAGGGGAUAGUCGUGAGAGAUUUGAAGGGGAAUUUACGAGAGAUUGCGGUGGAGAAUCGGAGACAUGAGUGAGGAGAGAGAGAAGCGUGGGGCUUGUGCGAAGACGUGAGGUUAGGGUUUCCUGAAAGGGCUGCCGAAGCUGUUGAAGCCGCCAUGGAUGUGAGCUU
rnacentral:lncRNA from 1 species